GACGUAGGUGGCAAGCGUUGUCCGGAUUUACUGGGCGUAAAGGGAGCGUAGGUGGAUAUUUAAGUGGGAUGUGAAAUCCCCGGGCUUAACCUGGGGGCUGCAUUCCAAGCUGGAUGUCUAGAGUGCAGGAGAGGAGAGUGGAAUUCCUAGUGUAGCGGUGAAAUGCGUAGAGAUUAGGAAGAACACCAGUGGCGAAGGCGACUCUCUGGACUGUAACUGACACUGAGGCUCGAAAGCGUGGGGAGCAAACAGG
rnacentral:rRNA from 1 species